AUAUCGUAUAGGGUUAAACCAGAAGGUUCUGCGGUUCAGCUUGUGGUCAAUGAAGGAAGUCAAGGCAUCUCUCGGACGUUUUGGGAAGAAUCUGCAUUUCAUUACAAUGCAUUGUCGUGGAAUCUAAUUGAGGGGAGUGGUAUGAUUGAAUUGAAGAUG